GUUUCUGUAGUGUAGUGGUUAUCACGGCCACCUUGCAUGCAGAAGGUCCCUGGUUCGAAACCAGGCAGAAACA